rnacentral:rRNA from 1 species
CGGGCUCUUCGGAGUAGUGGCGGACGGGUGAGUAACGCGUGAGAAUCUGGCUUCAGGUUCGGGACAACAGUUGGAAACGGCUGCUAAUACCGGAUGUGCCUUAUGGUGAAAGAUUUAUCACCUGAAGAUGAGCUCGCGUCUGAUUAGCUAGUAGGUGUGGUAAGAGCGCACCUAGGCGACGAUCAGUAGCUGGUCUGAGAGGAUGAUCAGCCACACUGGGACUGAGACACGGCCCAGACUCCUACGGGAGGCAGCAGUGGGGAAUUUUCCGCAAUGGGCGAAAGCCUGACGGAGCAAUACCGCGUGAGGGAGGAAGGCUCUUGGGUUGUAAACCUCUUUUCUCAGGGAAGAAUAAAUGACGGUACCUGAGGAAUAAGCAUCGGCUAACUCCGUGCCAGCAGCCGCGGUAAUACGGAGGAUGCAAGCGUUAUCCGGAAUGAUUGGGCGUAAAGCGUCCGCAGGUGGCAAUGUAAGUCUGCUGUCAAAGCGUCUGGCUCAACCAGAUAAAGGCAGCGGAAACUACAUAGCUAGAGUAAGGUAGGGGUAGAGGGAAUUCCUGGUGUAGCGGUGAAAUGCGUAGAGAUCAG